rnacentral:rRNA from 1 species
UACGUAGGUGGCAAGCGUUAUCCGGAAUUAUUGGGCGUAAAGAGCGCGCAGGUGGUUAAUUAAGUCUGAUGUGAAAGCCCACGGCUUAACCGUGGAGGGUCAUUGGAAACUGGUUGACUUGAGUGCAGAAGAGGGAAGUGGAAUUCCAUGUGUAGCGGUGAAAUGCGUAGAGAUAUGGAGGAACACCAGUGGCGAAGGCGGCUUCCUGGUCUGCAACUGACACUGAGGCGCGAAAGCGUGUGGAGCAAACAGG